rnacentral:lncRNA from 1 species
UUAAAAAAAUAUGUGGCACGUUAAACAUCAAACACCACGCUUCAAUCACCCAUCAACACAAACAGCUAUAAUCACACACCAUCAAUUUCUCCUUGCGAUUAACUUCUAACACCAAAUUACUGCCGUAAUCAUGUAAGAUGUGAACCACUAAAACCAACCUUAAGCAGUCUGACAACCUUAACAAUUAGAGAAAACAAAGAGGGAAUCAUCUUAUUCAACCUUCCCAUCACCAUCUCAAGAAGAAAAUUAGAAACACAGAACAGAGAAAUGCAUAAAAAGAGGACGUGAUUGUAUGAUAUAUAGCCCUCUAUCGUUGCCGAGGAAGAGGUAAUGAUGUGGCUCAAAGGUGAUAAAUCAUCAAAUGAAGAUAAGGUGGAGAAGCACCAACCUAACAUCAACUCUUCACUUCUAGAUAAUGUGCAUUGAAGAGUUCUCACUUUGCCUUGUUACAAUGCCUUCUUUGUGAACGUUAGCGACCCAAAUUGUUGUAUACUUAUUUAGAGACCAUCUCGGAGUAUGUCUCCGAUACUAAAUUGCACUGUACAAAUCUUAUAGGAUGCAGAUUGAAUGUGUAAUGUGUGCUUGACUUUUGUUUGUUGGAGCCGACUUUUUCCCUUUGCAAAAUUAUCCUUUAUUUA